GCGGACUUCGGUCUGGCGGCGACCGGCGUACGGGUGCGUAACGCGUAUGCAACCUACCUUCAGCAGGGGGAUAGCCCGUGGAAACAUGGAUUAAUACCCCAUAAAGCAGGGGUCUCGCAUGGGACUAUUUGCUAAAGAUUUAUCGGCUGGAGAUGGGCAUGCGUCUGAUUAGUUAGUUGGUGAGGUAACGGCUCACCAAGGCGAUGAUCAGUAGGGGUUCUGAGAGGAUGAUCCCCCACACUGGUACUGAGACACGGACCAGACUCCUACGGGAGGCAGCAGUAGGGAAUAUUGGGCAAUGGGCGAGAGCCUGACCCAGCCAUGCCGCGUGCAGGAAGACGGCCUUCUGGGUUGUAAACUGCUUUUAUCAGGGAAGAAAGAGGUGCUGCGGCGCCAGUUGACUGUACCUGAUGAAUAAGCACCGGCUAACUCCGUGCCAGCAGCCGCGGUAAUACGGAGGGUGCAAGCGUUGUCCGGAUUUAUUGGGUUUAAAGGGUGCGUAGGCGGAUUAUUAAGUCAGUGGUGAAAGUCUGCGGCUCAACCGCAGGAGUGCCAUUGAUACUGGUAGUCUUGAGUACAGUAGAGGUAGGCGGAAUUUAUGGUGUAGCGGUGAAAUGCAUAGAUACCAUAAAGAACACCGAUAGCGUAGGCAGCUUACUAUGUUGUAACUGACGCUGAGGCACGAAAGCGUGGGGAUCGAACAGGAUUAGAUACCCUGGUAGUCCACGCUGUAAACGAUGAAGACUCGCUGUUGGCGAUAUACUGUCAGCGGCCAAGCGAAAGCGUUAAGUCUUCCACCUG
rnacentral:rRNA from 1 species